AAAAGACGACGGCAAUAUUUUUAUUCGCGUUUUUGAAGUUGCAGACAUGAAACUUUUCGAUUUUUUCUACGGUAGAGAAAAUUGUGGGAUAAGGCGAGAAGGUUGCCCCAGAAUUGGGAUUUAUUUGCAAAGGUGAACAUUUGGUUGGACCAUUUGACGAGUGUUUCUGCCAACAGAAAAAGGGGCAAGGCAAAGGCGUCCGAGACACAGUCUUUGAAAAAGGUUCAAGCUUCUAUCCAGGCCCAAGCUCCUAUCAAGGUUCAAGCUCCUAUAUAUCCCGACUCAAGCUCCCAUCCAGGCCCCUGCUCCUAUCCAGGAUUUUGAGGAAAGUGCACCAGAUU